CUAACAGAUACAGUGAGGGUAUAGUCUACAGCUAACAGAUACAGUGAGGGUAUAGUCUACAGCUAACAGGUACAAUGAGGGUAUAGUCUACAGCUAACAGAUACAGUGAGGGUAUAGUCUACAGCUACCAGAUACAGUGAGGGUAUAGUCUACAGCUACCAGAUACAGUGAGGGUAUAGUCUACAGCUACCAGAUACAGUGAGGGUAUAGUCUACAGCUAACAGAUACAAUGAGGGUAUAGUCUACCAGAUACAGUGAGGGUCUAGCUACCAGAUACAGUGAGGGUAUAGCCUACAGCUACCAGAUACAGUGAGGGUACAGCUACCAGAUACAGUGAGGGUAUAGCCUACAGCUAACAGACACAGUGUGCCUACAGCUAACAGAUACAGUGAGGGUAUAGUCUACAGCUACCAGAUACAGUGAGGGUAUAGCCUACAGCUACCAGAUACAGUGAGGGUAUAGUCUACAGCUACCAGAUACAGUGAGGGUAUAGUCUACAGCUAACAGAUACAGUGAGGGUAUAGUCUACAGCUAACAGAUACAGUGAGGGUAUAGCCUACAGCUAACAGAUACAGUGAGGGUAUAGCCUACAGCUACCAGAUACAGUGAGGGUAUAGCCUACAGCUAACAGAUACAGUGAGGGUAUAGUCUACAGCUAACAGAUACAGUGAAGGUAUAGCCUACAGCUACCAGAUACAGUGAGGGUAUAGUCUACAGCUAACAGAUACAGUGAGGGUAUAGUCUACAGCUAACAGAUACAGUGAGGGUAUAGUCUACAGCUAACAGAUACAGUGAGGGUAUAGUCUACAGCUAACAGAUACAGUGAGGGUAUAGUCUACAGCUAACAGAUACAGUGAGGGUAUAGUCUAAAGCUAACAGAUACAGUGAGGGUAUAGUCUACAGCUAACAGAUACAGUGAGGGUAUAGUCUACAGCUAACAGAUACAGUGAGGGUAUAGUCUACAGCUAACAGAUACAGUGAGGGUAUAGCCUACAGCUAUCAGAUACAGUGAGGGUAUAGCCUACAGCUACCAGAUACAGUGAGGGUAUAGCUACCAGAUACAGUGAGGGUAUAGUCUACAGCUAACAGAUACAGUGAGGGUAUAGCUACCAGAUACAGUGAGGGUAUAGUCUACAGCUACCAGAUACAGUGAGGGUAUAGCCUACAGCUACCAGAUACAGUGAGGGUAUAGUCUACAGCUAACAGAUACAGUGAGGGUAUAGCCUACAGCUAACAGAUACAGUGAGGGUAUAGCCUACAGCUACCAGAUACAGUGAAGGUAUAGUCUACAGCUAACAGAUACAGUGAGGGUAUAGUCUACAGCUACCAGAUACAGUAAGGGUAUAGCCUACGGCUACCAGAUACAGUGAGGGUAUAGCCUACAGCUAACAGAUACAGUGAGGGUAUAGUCUACAGCUAACAGAUACAGUGAAGGUAUAGCCUACAGCUACCAGAUACAGUGAGGGUAUAGUCUACAGCUAACAGAUACAGUGAGGGUAUAGUCUACAGCUAACAGAUACAGUGAGGGUAUAGUCUACAGCUAACAGAUACAGUGAGGGUAUAGUCUACAGCUAACAGAUACAGUGAGGGUAUAGUCUACAGCUAACAGAUACAGUGAGGGUAUAGUCUACAGCUAACAGGUACAAUGAGGGUAUAGUCUACAGCUAACAGAUACAGUGAGGGUAUAGUCUACAGCUACCAGAUACAGUGAGGGUAUAGUCUACAGCUACCAGAUACAGUGAGGGUAUAGUCUACAGCUACCUGAUACAGUGAGGGUAUAGUCUACAGCUAACAGAUACAAUGAGGGUAUAGUCUACCAGAUACAGUGAGGGUCUAGCUACCAGAUACAGUGAGGGUAUAGCCUACAGCUACCAGAUACAGUGAGGGUACAGCUACCAGAUACAGUGAGGGUAUAGCCUACAGCUAACAGACACAGUGUGCCUACAGCUACCAGAUACAGUGAGGGUAUAGUCUACAGCUACCAGAUACAGUGAGGGUAUAGUCUACAGCUACCAGAUACAGUGAGGGUAUAGCUACCAGAUACAGUGAGGGUAUAGCUACCAGAUACAGUGAGGGUAUAGUCUACAGCUACCAGAUACAGUGAGGGUAUAGUCUACAGCUACCAGAUACAGUGAGGGUAUAGCCUACAGCUACCAGAUACAGUGAGGGUACAGCUACCAGAUACAGUGAGGGUAUAGCCUACAGCUAACAGACACAGUGUGCCUACAGCUACCAGAUACAGUGAGGGUAUAGUCUACAGCUACCAGAUACAGUGAGGGUAUAGUCUACAGCUACCAGAUACAGUGAGGGUAUAGCUACCAGAUACAGUGAGGGUAUAGCUACCAGAUACAGUGAGGGUAUAGUCUACAGCUACCAGAUACAGUGAGGGUAUAGUCUACAGCUACCAGAUACAGUGAGGGUAUAGUCUACAGCUAACAGAUACAAUGAGGGUAUAGUCUACAGCUAACAGAUACAGUGAGGGUAUAGUCUACAGCUACCAGAUACAGUGAGGGUAUAGUCUACAGCUACCAGAUACAGUGAGGGUAUAGUCUACAGCUAACAGGUACAAUGAGGGUAUAGUCUACAGCUAACAGAUACAGUGAGGGUAUAGUCUACAGCUACCAGAUACAGUGAGGGUAUAGUCUACAGCUACCAGAUACAGUGAGGGUAUAGUCUACAGCUACCUGAUACAGUGAGGGUAUAGUCUACAGCUAACAGAUACAAUGAGGGUAUAGUCUACCAGAUACAGUGAGGGUCUAGCUACCAGAUACAGUGAGGGUAAUACCUACAGCUAACAGAUACAGUGAGGGUACAGCUACCAGAUACAGUGAGGGUAAUACAUACAGCUAACAGAUACAGUGUGCCUACAGCUACCAGAUACAGUGAGGGUAUAGUCUACAGCUACCAGAUACAGUGAGGGUAUAGCUACCAGAUACAGUGAGGGUAUAGCUACCAGAUACAGUGAGGGUAUAGUCUACAGCUACCAGAUACAGUGAGGGUAUAGUCUACAGCUACCAGAUACAGUGAGGGUAUAGUCUACAGCUACCAGAUACAGUGAGGGUAUAGUCUACAGCUAACAGAUACAAUGAGGGUAUAGUCUACAGCUAACAGAUACAGUGAGGGUAUAGUCUACAGCUACCAGAUACAGUGAGGGUAUAGUCUACAGCUACCAGAUACAGUGAGGGUAUAGUCUACAGCUAACAGAUACAAUGAGGGUAUAGUCUACAGCUAACAGAUACAGUGAGGGUAUAGUCUACAGCUACCAGAUACAGUGAGGGUAUAGUCUACAGCUAACAGAUACAAUGAGGGUAUAGUCUACAGCUAACAGAUACAAUGAGGGUAUAGUCUACCAGAUACAGUGAGGGUAUAGUCUACAGCUAACAGAUACAGUGAGGGUAUAGUCUACAGCUACCAGAUACAGUGAGGGUAUAGUCUACAGCUACCAGAUACAGUGAGGGUAUAGUCUACAGCUAACAGAUACAAUGAGGGUAUAGUCUACCAGAUACAGUGAGGGUCUAGCUACCAGAUACAGUGAGGGUAAUACCUACAGCUAACAGAUACAGUGAGGGUACAGCUACCAGAUACAGUGAGGGUAAUACAUACAGCUAACAGAUACAGUGUGCCUACAGCUACCAGAUACAGUGAGGGUAUAGUCUACAGCUACCAGAUACAGUGAGGGUAUAGCCUACAUAAUGAGAUUAUUAUGGACAAAAAAAGCUGUUGUCUUUACGACAUCGAUGACCGUGUCACCAGAAUAACCUUACCGAGUGGUGCAGCGGUGCAUCUCAGUGCUAGUUGCAUUACUACAGAUCUCGGGCUGUAUCACAACCGGCCGUGAUCCUGGAGUCCCAUAGGGCAGUGCACAAUUGGCCCAGCGUCGUUAAGGGUUGUGGGAGGGUUUGGCUGGGGUAGGCCGUCAUCGUAAAUAAGAGCUUGUUGUUAACUGACUUGCCUAGUUAAAUAAAGGUUCAAUUAAAAAACAUUUGAAAUAAGACCCCUGAUAUUAAUUAUGAAGGAGCAUCGAGCUUCAAGCAGCCACUUUCACCAUCCUGUAAAGUUCAUCGUAACGUAUUUCAUCUGGAGCCUGAUAAACUGCAUGCUUGCCACAAUCGUAAUGAGUUGAACACACAAUAUCAUCGCGUGAUUUUGAUGUGAUGAUUAUUAUAUCAAUAUUUCAUUUCCUGCAUAAUUAAUUUUACAGACACAAAAACAGCUCACCUUGUGUAGCGUAAUUUGUUUUGUCGACAUUUGGAAAGUUUACCGACCAGUCUCUUUUUUUCCAGCCGUCACUCUUUGUUUCUACCUGUCUCUCUCUCUACCUCUCCCUCUCUCUCUACCCACAACCACCUGCUCCUCCUCUGUAUUUUUCAUCCUCUUCUCUCUUUUCUCCUCGUUACUCUGCCUUCAUCUGUCACUUCCCCCACCUCCCUCUGUCUCCUUCAUGUUCCAAGAAUCUCAUGAAAAGAAGUGACAAAUUACUUCUCUCUCUCUACACCCCCCCCCCCCU